rnacentral:rRNA from 1 species
AACGAACGCUGGCGGCAUGCCUAACACAUGCCAGUCGAACGAGACCUUCGGGUCUAGUGGCGCACGGGUGCGUAACGCGUGGGAACCUGCCCUUAGGUUCGGAAUAACUCCCCGAAAGGGAUGCUAAUACCGGAUAAUGUCUUCGGACCAAAGAUUUAUCGCCUUUGGAUGGGCCCGCGUUGGAUUAGCUAGUUGGUAGGGUAAAAGCCUACCAAGGCGACGAUCCAUAGCUGGUCUGAGAGGAUGAUCAGCCACACUGGGACUGAGACACGGCCCAGACUCCUACGGGAGGCAGCAGUGGGGAAUAUUGGACAAUGGGCGAAAGCCUGAUCCAGCAAUGCCGCGUGAGUGAUGAAGGCCUUAGAGUUGUAAAGCUCUUUUACCCGGGAUGAUAAUGACAGUACCGGGAGAAUAAGCUCCGGCUAACUCCGUG